GUCUUUUCCCCAUGUCUCCCUGUUUUCCCUACAUGUCCCACACUGGCCUGCUCCCGCUAACUAAGGGGGCGUGGUGAUUAGUUACACACCGGAGUUCGUUCGCACUGAUUACUGGCCGGACAGUAUAAAACCACCCAGGUACGAAGAAGCGUUGUAAGCUCUGCCUGUUUAACCCCCUAGCGUGUCGGAUUUAGUCAUCAGCUUCGUGGUCACCGGCUAGUCUGCUCCUGCUGCCCGUGUGUUAGACACCAUCCCUUAUUCAUUCUACAGCUGAACGUGGGUGAGUGCUCCCCAUACGGCGCUUUGUGCACUAAUCGUAGUUACGAACAUAGGUAUGUACGAUGCUUGCUUUGAUGGGUAACUUUUUAGGCGGCAGUAGAAGGCUUUAUGUUCAAUGUCUUUUCUGUCCUGUCCAGGUAGCGCGGCCUUUUCCAUCUACGCGGGGUGCAUAGCGUGGGUCGUGCUGCUGUCUUGUCUUGUCUUGGUUUUGCUUUGGUUAUUUUAUGUUUGGUUUUUGUGUUGCCUGUCUUGUCCUUCUGUGUGUAACUUUCAUCUUUAUUUAGUAGGGAGGUGGCUCUGAGGGGGUCUAGUUUAAGCACAUGUGUGAUGUUUUUGGUGUAUUCCUUGUAGCUUUACUGUGUACUUUUGCUGUGUAACAGGUGAACCUUUUCUUUAUGCUUGCAUGGUAUUGGUCUGAACUUCCAUAGUUGCCACCCUCAGAUCUCCACUUCCCUACCUUUUGUAUUAAUAAAUAUUGUU